GAUUUUGUUAAGGUCUCCUAUUUAUAGCACGGUUUAUAACUAUGGAAUUUAUUGAGGAAACCAGUUAUGAAAAUUUGUAUGUAGAGAAAUCCAGCGCAAGGGACCGAUAUACUUAAGGCCAAGAUAGUGCCAGCAGCCGCGGUCAUACUACCUUAGGGAAUAAAUGAUAUAAGUGAAAAAAUCUUUAAAUUAAUAUAUUACUAUAGUGAAAUGUACUCUAUAAAUAAACUAACAUUAAAUAAUUAUAUACAAUCACUUUUAACAAACAAGGAUUAGAUACCCUUUUAUGAAGUAGCAAACAAAUUUCACUGGGUACUAAAGUACUAACCCAAACUCAAAUAACAUGGCGGUAAUUUUAAAGCUUAGGGGAACUUACCUAAUAAUUGAUAACCACCAAGAAUAACUACUUUAAGUUAAAUUUUGUAUGCCGUCGUCUAGAUUAAAUAUUAUAUUUAAUCUUGAAGUAUUUACACUAUAUGACAGAUCCUGGUGCAGACCAUCUUAAAGAUAAAGGCGAGUUACAAUAUUAUUUUAAAUUCUACAUGGUCUAUUUAUAAACCUAAUAGUUGGACUUAAUAGUAAGGAUUUUAUUAAAUUUAUUAACUGAAUAAUAAUAGAAUUGUGC
rnacentral:rRNA from 1 species